rnacentral:rRNA from 1 species
GACGUAGGGCGCGAGCGUUUGUCCGGAUUUAUUGGGCGUAAAGAGCUCGUAGGCGGUCUGUCGCGUCGGCUGUGAAAACUCGGGGCUCAACCCCGAGCCUGCAGUCGAUACGGGCAGACUAGAGUGCGGUAGGGGAGACUGGAAUUCCUGGUGUAGCGGUGAAAUGCGCAGAUAUCAGGAGGAACACCGGCGGCGAAGGCGGGUCUCUGGGCCGUAACUGACGCUGAGGAGCGAAAGCGUGGGGAGCGAACAGG